UGGGGAAUUUUGGACAAUGGGCGAAAGCCUGAUCCAGCAAUGCCGCGUGUGUGAAGAAGGCCUUCGGGUUGUAAAGCACUUUUGUCCGGAAAGAAAUCCUUGGCUCUAAUACAGUCGGGGGAUGACGGUACCGGAAGAAUAAGCACCGGCUAACUACGUGCCAGCAGCCGCGGUAAUACGUAGGGUGCAAGCGUUAAUCGGAAUUACUGGGCGUAAAGCGUGCGCAGGCGGUUUGCUAAGACCGAUGUGAAAUCCCCGGGCUCAACCUGGGAACUGCAUUGGUGACUGGCAGGCUAGAGUAUGGCAGAGGGGGGUAGAAUUCCACGUGUAGCAGUGAAAUGCGUAGAGAUGUGGAGGAAUACCGAUGGCGAAGGCAGCCCCCCUGGGCCAAUACUGACGCUCAUGCACGAAAGCGUGGGGAGCAAACAGGAUUAGAUACCCUGGUAGUCCACGCCCUAAACGAUGUCAACUAGUUGUUGGGGAUUCAUUUCCUUAGUAACGUAGCUAACGCGUGAAGUUG
rnacentral:rRNA from 1 species